AGAGAAAGAGAGAGAGAGAGAGAGAGAGAGAGAGAGAGAGAGAGAGAGAGAGAGAGAGAGAGAGAGAGAGAGAUGAUGAUGAACUUACCUGGCAGCGAGAGAUGAGGAUGAACUUACCUGGCAGCGUUGAUGGGUCACACAGAGGGAGUUCGGAGUUCGGAGUUCGGAGUUCGAAGACGACAGUUCAUGAAUGUUGCAUCAUGGGUCUGCUAUUGUGGAAGGGUUGCAAAAAUUCAGACUUCUUGGACCUCUUCACAUCCAGGAUGAAGAUUUUAUGUUUGUGCGCUGGUGAGUUAAAUUUUGAAGUUUGGGUUUCAAAUUUGCAGUUUUGAGUUUCCAAGUUUUAAAAAUUUGUCUUUGCAGAAUCGUUGUCAAAUGUGAGAGUGGGGUGACCCUGUUAUGUGCAAUAGGUCUAAGCAAAUAAUUCCAGGACUGUUGAGGAGAAUUAACAAGUUGGAAUCAGAAAAAAAAAAAAAAGGGAAUUCGAAGCUGAAAACCCCAUGGUUUUGGGUGUUGUUGUGCAUGUUUUGGAUUAUUAUGUGGUUGAUUUUGAAUGAAGAUAAAGGCACCAAUGGGCAGCUGUAGAAAGAGAUGGGUAGUUGACAUUUUGUAAGAGUUAUAAAGGGAUGGGUACUUGCCAUUUUGUAAGGGUUAGAAAGAGCCAAAAGACCCGUUCAAAGGGGUGGAUUGGAAAUUCAUAUGCAAAUUCAUGUGCCUCAUCAUCACCAUCAUCAUCUAAACCAACGUCCACUACAAACUAGUUCCCCAACUCACCAACAUCAGUUUCAGUUUGAACUUCUACUUCAAUGAACUGUGGAGUAUAUGUAGAUGCCUGAUUCUCUGGGAAAUGUGGUUGAGGCUUAUAUGAAAGAUAUAAAGGUUGAACUCUAGAGGUAGGUGUGUGCUCCAUAAACUCAACUUCAUGGACAUCUACUUCAAUUGGAACAAACCUUUUUCUUUUGUUCUAGUAGUGCUACUGUAUUUUUUGAUGGUCUUAUCCUAAAUACUUCCUUUGUAACUUUACCCGAACAUACUUCUCCUUUGAAAUAUAACCUCCAUGGUGAAUUUCUAGGGAGAAAAAAUAUGGAUCACCUAAAAAAAAAAAAAAGAUAUAAAAACCACUAUUUUAUCACACCAACUUAUCUUUACUGCCCAUUUACCGUUCUAAACUUGAAAUUGACUAAGAUCCACCGACAAUUAUGCAGACAAAACAACACAAAUGCUUCGGGACCACAUGUAUUUCAUAUUCAAAAAAGCAUAUCAAACAACACCACAAAAUGUCAAAAGAACUGACAGACCAAAGAACACACAAGCUUAAACAAUUUCAAAUUGGAAAAAGCGAUUACUUACUGUACUUGGGAGGAGGCCCUCUGUUCCGCACCUACAUAGGCAACACAUCCAGACUCAUGUUGCGUCCAAUCAACAAAGCCAAAAGAAGCUUUAUGAAAAAGCUUUCAGAUUCUCUCGAUUUCGUCCCUCUCCAACCUUCGAUUUCGUCCCUUUUGCAGCCCUCAAUUCCAUCCCUUUCCAACCCUACCAAACUGAGCGAGAUGUGAGAAGUGUGUGAAAUGUGAGAAC
rnacentral:lncRNA from 1 species